GGGCUUGUAGCUUAGUAUGGUGGAGCGAGCGGCUCAUAACCGCCCGGUCGUCGGUUCAAAUCCGGCCAGGCCCA
rnacentral:tRNA from 1 species